GGAGGAGGAAGCAGCAGCAGAGAAGGAGAGAGAGAAACAGCGACCGUGUGUGUCUGAGCUUGUGGGAGAGACGGAGAGAGGCAGGGACAGGCAGGACUGGUCUCUCUUCCCGGUAGGCUGCGCUGUGAUCAGAGCCGAUUCUCUCCCCUCUCUUCUCCUUUUUCCCACCCCCCUCCUCCUCCUCCUCCUCCUCCUUUCCAGCCAGACCCCGGAUCGCCCCUUCUCCCGUCCCCAAAGCGGCUGUGCGCUGUGCGCUGUGCGGUGCGCGCUGCGCACACUGCGGCGGCUGCGGGUCGGGGAAGGCCGGAGGGGCUGGGGUCGCCUUCCCUCUGCCCACCGAGAGCUGCCCGGCUUGGAGGAGAGCCAAGGCCGGGACGAGGAGGGGAGGGAGAAACUCCCCAAGGAGGAGCCGUCGCCUCCCACCGGGAGAAAAAAGGGAGCCGACGGCAGCCAGCCGAACAUCAUUUGCCUCCUGUUGGACUCUCCGCCAUCUUAAUGAAGACCCAGGUUGGCCAGAAACCCUUUGGGUUUCAGGGAAAGAAAUGGACUUUGAGUUUCCCUGCAGCAUCUCUGUCUGUUGUCAUGGGACCCUGCUAAUCUGGUUGAAGAACCCUGGGAGAUGAGGAAGAAGAAUUGUGUUCCUUCCCAUCUAGAUUUCCCGGCCUGCAUUGGAGGACUCAGAGGGCCCAGAUCCUGGAAGCAAUGCAUUUUGAACUUGACUUCCAAAUUUCCAGUCUGCUGCCUGACCAAGUCCUUUUCUCUCCUGUCAUUCAGUUGUUUCAUCUAUAUAUAAAUAUCUAGUUAUCACUCUCUAAUGUGAGAGCAAGCUGUUCUUUGGCUUCAAAUAUGUUGUUGCUUAUGAAAGUUUUUUCAGUGUGUGGCUGACAGACCGAUGCUUGUAUGACUGACAGAUAAUCCUUCUGCAUCAUAUGCAUAUGAGAUUUUUCCCCAUCCUGUACUGUUGCAUUUUUUCCCCACAGUGCCUCGAGUUUUCUUUACGUCUUGUUGGUGUACCUUACCUGUGCCUCAAGACGGUCAUCCCAUUUCUGACUGCUGCAUGCCAUUAUAAGGACGUUACAAAGGAAGACUUUGGGAAUGGAUGUAACCCAAAGACUAACGAUAAAGUAUUAGCAGAGCCUUGACUGUAGGUAGAGCUUCCCAGCAAUUAUUUCCUUUUUGGACAGAAUUAAAAAGGCCAUCCAGGCUUGAAAAUAAACUCUUUAUAUCUGUAAUGAACAA